UACGAAGGGGGCUAGCGUUGUUCGGAAUCACUGGGCGUAAAGGGCGCGUAGGCGGCUUUGUAAGUCGGGGGUGAAAGCCUGUGGCUCAACCACAGAAUUGCCUUCGAUACUGCAUGGCUUGAGACCGGAAGAGGUAAGUGGAACUGCGAGUGUAGAGGUGAAAUUCGUAGAUAUUCGCAAGAACACCAGUGGCGAAGGCGGCUCACUGGCCCGGUACUGACGCUGAGGUGCGAAAGCGUGGGGAUCAAACAGG
rnacentral:rRNA from 1 species